rnacentral:lncRNA from 1 species
GAUAUUUUAAAUUUAGUGUUUCAUUUGGAUUACAACCUACAAAUGGGUGUCUGGUUGAACUGAAUUUCAUAUAGUUUUGAUGCUUUUGUGUAUAUUUAUGAUUUUUUCGUAUAUGUGAAGGCUAAUUAGUGUGUUAGCACAUUACACACAUGGAGAAUUUCAACAGUUGUUCAAAUACAAGAGAACAGUGAACUAAUGAUUACAAUAUGGAAUGCUUCAGAACAGGUAUGCAAAAUUCAAAAGCAUCCGUGCUAUAAAAAUUAGUGAUGUAUUAUGAUUUGGUGUGAAGGUAUUAUGAGGAUCACACCUUUGUUCACACCAUUCUGCAACAAUUUGCUAGCAAUCAAGUGUGUCUGUGUGUGUAUAUAUAUAUAUAUAUAUAUACACACACACACACCCCCACACCCACACACACAUAUACAUAAAUAUCAGUAAACUGUGUGUGUAUUACACACACACACACACACACACACACAUAUUAUACAUAUAUAUGUAUAAUCAUUCAUUGGUAUCAAUGGGAGACUGGUUCUAGGACUUCUGCAAAUAACUCAAAUUCCAUAUAUAAAAUGACAUCGUAUUUGCAUAUAACCUAUGCAUAUCCCCCACAUAGUUUAAAUCAUGUCUAGAUUAGUUUUAAUAACUAAUACAAUGUAAGGAAUAUAUAUAUCGUUAUUAUAUUGUAUUUGAAAUUUUGUAUUUUUAUUGUAUUGUUUUGUUUUAUUAUACUUUAAGUUCUGGGGUACAUGUGCAGAUUGUGGAGAAUUGUUACCUAAGUAUACACAUGCCAUGGUGAUUUGCUGCAUCCAUCCCCUAUCAUCUACAUUAGAUAUUUCUCCUAAUGUUGUCCAUCCCCAAUCCCCCCACACCUUGCUAUCCCUCCCCUAACUCCUCCACUCCCCAGCAGUUCCCAGUGUGUGAUGCUCCCCUCCCUGUGUCCAUGUGUUCUCAUUGUUCAACAACCACUUAUGAUUGAGAACAUGUGGAAACAGCCAUUUCUUUGUUCAGCUCUUGGACCAUUUUACUGGAUUCCUUGGAUUGGGUUUUAACUUCCUUGCCAUUGAGUCUGAACUUUAUCUCAGUCAUUUCAGUCUUUUCCAAUUGGUUAAGAACUAUUGCUGGGGAGCUAGUGUACUCAUUUGGAAGUAAGGGGACAUUCUGGCUUUUUGAAUUGCCAGAACACUUUUCUUCUCAUCUGGGUGUGUUGGUGUUAUUUUAAUUGUGGUGAAAGUUGAAUGUAGUUAGUUUGCUUCAUAUCUGAAUGCUUUCAGAGGGCCAGGGCUCUGUGCAGUAUCUUAAUGUGUGGGUGAGAUCUUGAACUUGGUUUCACAGAUGUAGAUAUUAGCAGGAUAAUUUCUGUUGUAGUUUGGGCUGUGAUCCAGUAGGUGGCAGUUAAGUGUAAUGGCUGCUA